GAUGAACGCUGGCGGCGUGCCUAAUACAUGCAAGUCGAGCGAACGGGCGAGAAGCUUGCUUCUCUGAUGUUAGCGGCGGACGGGUGAGUAACACGUGGAUAACCUACCUAUAAGACUGGGAUAACUUCGGGAAACCGGAGCUAAUACCGGAUAAUAUUUUGAACCGCAUGGUUCAAAAGUGAAAGACGGUCUUGCUGUCACUUAUAGAUGGAUCCGCGCUGCAUUAGCUAGUUGGUAAGGUAACGGCUUACCAAGGCAACGAUGCAUAGCCGACCUGAGAGGGUGAUCGGCCACACUGGAACUGAGACACGGUCCAUACUCCUACGGGAGGCAGCAGUAGGGAAUCUUCCGCAAUGGGCGAAAGCCUGACGGAGCAACGCCGCGUGAGUGAUGAAGGUCUUCGGAUCGUAAAACUCUGUUAUUAGGGAAGAACAGAUGUGUAAGUAACUGUGCACAUCUUGACGGUACCUAAUCAGAAAGCCACGGCUAACUACGUG
rnacentral:rRNA from 1 species